AACGAACGCUGGCGGCAGGCUUAACACAUGCAAGUCGAACGCCCGUAGCAAUACGGGAGUGGCAGACGGGAGAGUAACACGUGGGAACGUACCCUUCAGUUCGGGAUAACCCAGGGAAACUUGGGCUAAUACCGGAUACGUCCGUAAGGAGAAAGAUUUAUCGCUGAAGGAUCGGCCCGCGUCUGAUUAGCUAGUUGGUGAGGUAAUGGCUCACCAAGGCGACGAUCAGUAGCUGGUCUGAGAGGAGGAUCAGCCUCACUGGGACUGGGACACGGCCCAGACUCCUACGGGAGGCAGCAGUGGGGAAUAUUGGACAAUGGGCGCAAGCCUGAUCCAGCCAUGCCGCGUGAGUGAUGAAGGCCCUAGGGUUGUAAAGCUCUUUCGGCGGGGAAGAUAAUGACGGUACCCGCAGAAGAAGCCCCGGCUAACUUCGUGCCAGCAGCCGCGGUAAGAC
rnacentral:rRNA from 1 species